GAGUUUGAUCUUGGCUCAGAUUGAACGCUGGCGGCAUGCCUUACACAUGCAAGUCGAACGGCAGCAUGAUCUAGCUUGCUAGAUUGAUGGCGAGUGGCGAACGGGUGAGUAAUACAUCGGAACGUGCCCUGUAGUGGGGGAUAACUAGUCGAAAGAUUAGCUAAUACCGCAUACGACCUGAGGGUGAAAGUGGGGGACCGCAAGGCCUCAUGCUAUAGGAGCGGCCGAUGUCUGAUUAGCUAGUUGGUGGGGUCAAGGCCCACCAAGGCGACGAUCAGUAGCUGGUCUGAGAGGACGAUCAGCCACACUGGGACUGAGACACGGCCCAGACUCCUACGGGAGGCAGCAGGUGGGAAUUUUGGACAAUGGGCGAAAGCCUGAUCCAGCAAUGCCGCGUGUGUGAAGAAGGCCU
rnacentral:rRNA from 1 species